rnacentral:misc_RNA from 1 species
CUAGAUUCUAUUUAUGAUACCCUCUUUGAAGCAAUAUUGGAAGAAGACUUAGUUUACGAUACUUAGGAAUCAUAAUAAUUGUAAAAUUAGUAAGUUUAGAGUUCUAUUAUUUGGGAAUUCUAUUAGGUUUGCUAUUAUUUUCCUAGUUUAGGAUUCUUAAUUAGUAUUGGUUUAGUAAUUUGUUGUUUUGGGAUCACUAAACCUAGUAGUAAUAGGAUGAGUUAUUUUACUCUAAAUGCAUUUCUUCUAGGGAUUUUAUUAGAGCUUAUUAUUAUGAUGUUAUUGACAAUUGAG